AACGAACGCUGGCGGCAUGCCUAACACAUGCAAGUCGAACGAGACCUUCGGGUCUAGUGGCGCACGGGUGAGUAACGCGUGGGAACCUGCCCUUAGGUUCGGAAUAACUCCCCGAAAGGGGUGCUAAUACCGGAUAAUGUCUUCGGACCAAAGAUUUAUCGCCUUUGGAUGGGCCCGCGUUGGAUUAGCUAGUUGGUAGGGUAAAAGCCUACCAAGGCGACGAUCCAUAGCUGGUCUGAGAGGAUGAUCAGCCACACUGGGACUGAGACACGGCCCAGACUCCUACGGGAAGCAGCAGUGGGGAAUAUUGGACAAUGGGCGAAAGCCUGAUCCAGCAAUGGCGCGGGAGUGAUGAAGGCCUUAGGGUUGGAAAGCUCUUUUACCCGGGAUGAUAAUGACAGUACCGGGAGAAUAAGCCCCGGCUAACUCCGUG
rnacentral:rRNA from 1 species